GUGUGACUGUUGAAGAAGUGUGUGUGUUUGAAUCCGACUGCUUUAUUCUGUAAUGACGUGUGUCUGAUAGCAGCAUCUCUGUUGAGGGAUCAGAGAGGAGCUCAGUGAUCCAUAGAAUGAUACACAACACACACACACACCGCACGCUAGUUUGGCUGUGGGGAGUGAACAGGCUGCCAGUAAAUGUCAGCUCACUGAACUCAUUACCAAUGACAAGAGGAACAGAAAGCGGUCUGGAGGGAGUGGAAGAGAACAGAAAGAGGUCUGGAGGGAGUGGAGGAGAACAGAAAGAGGUCUGGAGGGAGUGGAAGAGAACAGAAAGAGGUCUGGAGGGAGUGGAAGAGAACAGAAAGAGGUCUGGAGGGAGUGGAGGAGAACAGAAAGAGGUCUGGAGGGAGUGGAGGAGAACAGAACGAGGUCUGGAGGGAGUGGAGGAGAACAGAAAGAGGUCUGGAGGGAGUGGAAGAGAACAGAAAGAGGUCUGGAGGGAGUGGAGGAGAACAGAAAGAGGUCUGGAGGGAGUGGAAGAGAACAGAAAGAGGUCUGGAGGGAGUGGAGGAGAACAGAAAGAGGUCUGGAGGGAGUGGAGGAGAACAGAAAGAGGUCUGGAGGGAGUGGAGGAGAACAGAACGAGGAGUGGAGGAGAACAGAAAGAGGUCUGGAGGGAGUGGAGGAGAACAGAAAGAGGUCUGGAGGGAGUGGAGGAGAACAGAAAGAGGUCUGGAGGGAGUGGAAGAGAACAGAAAGAGGUCUGGAGGGAGUGGAAGAGAACAGAAAGAGGUCUGGAGGGAGUGGAGGAGAACAGAAAGAGGUCUGGAGGGAGUGGAGGAGAACAGAACGAGGUCUGGAGGGAGUGGAGGAGAACAGAAAGAGGUCUGGAGGGAGUGGAAGAGAACAGAAAGAGG